GACGAACGCUGGCGGCGUGCUUAACACAUGCAAGUCGAACGGAAAGGCCCUUUCGGGGGUGCUCGAGUGGCGAACGGGUGAGUAACACGUGGGUGAUCUGCCCUGCACUUUGGGAUAAGC
rnacentral:rRNA from 1 species